rnacentral:rRNA from 1 species
GACGAACGCUGGCGGCGUGCUUAACACAUGCAAGUCGAACGGAAAGGCCCUGCUUUUGGGGGGUGCUUGAGUGGCGAAAGGGUGAGUAACACGUGAGUAACCUGCCCUUGACUUUGGGAUAACUUCAGGAAACUGGGGCUAAUACCGGAUAGGAGCUCCUGCUGCAUGGUGGGGGUUGGAAAGUUUCGGCGGUUGGGGAUGGACUCGCGGCUUAUCAGCUUGUUGGUGGGGUAGUGGCUUACCAAGGCUUUGACGGGUAGCCGGCCUGAGAGGGUGACCGGCCACAUUGGGACUGAGAUACGGCCCAGACUCCUACGGGAGGCAGCAGUGGGGAAUAUUGCACAAUGGGCGGAAGCCUGAUGCAGCAACGCCGCGUGCGGGAUGACGGCCUUCGGGUUGUAAACCGCUUUCGCCUGUGACGAAGCGUGAGUGACGGUAAUGGGUAAAGAAGCACCGGCUAACUACGUG